rnacentral:rRNA from 1 species
CCUACGGGAGGCUGCAGUGGGGAAUAUUGGACAAUGGGGGCAACCCUGAUCCAGCCAUGCCGCGUGUGUGAAGAAGGCCCUCGGGUUGUAAAGCACUUUCAGUGAGGAAGAACGCCUGGUGGUUAAUACCCAUCAGGAAAGACAUCACUCACAGAAGAAGCACCGGCUAACUCCGUGCCAGCAGCCGCGGUAAUACGGAGGGUGCGAGCGUUAAUCGGAAUUACUGGGCGUAAAGCGCGCGUAGGUGGCUUGAUAAGCCGGUUGUGAAAGCCCCGGGCUCAACCUGGGAACGGCAUCCGGAACUGUCAAGCUAGAGGGCAGGAGAGGAGGGUAGAAUUCCCGGUGUAGCGGUGAAAUGCGUAGAGAUCGGGAGGAAUACCAGUGGCGAAGGCGGCCUUCUGGACUGACACUGACACUGAGGUGCGAAAGCGUGGGUAGCAAACAGGAUUAGAUACCCGAGUAGUC